AUAGCUGGUUCUAGGACCAUAUUUGCAAAUCACUGCACUAACUUAUGUGUUGUAGCUGGUUUUUGAGUCUCCAGCUUCCCCUCUCAACUCCCAGUCACUUUAUGGAACACCCUCGGUGCCCAGGGGUCUCUAUAUGAUUGGUCCUGGUUCUCCCUGGGCUGGCUUGAGACUUUGCAGUGUGCCAAUAAGAGGAUGUAUAUGAGACCCUUACUCAUGUACUUUUGUGAAGCUAACCACACUGGACUUUUAAGCCCGUUCUUCCUGACUUCCUGUCUUUGAUUCUGAAUUAGUUGAGGCAUGAGAACUUCACCGCAGGAAGGUCCUGCCCCUUGUUUGCUCCUAAAGGUUCCUUUGAAGUUCAACUUGACCAACCCACCAUUGCAGGCACUCCAGAGGAGAAGACAGCCUUGCUAUGUCCAAUCCACUUCAGUUUGCAAAUUUCUUGUUGGUCACUUUUAUGCCCCCACUGAAUAGGACAGUGUGAAGCAUGGAUUAAGUACGCAAUAAAUGGUUGUUGAAUAAAUCAGAAAAUUAAAUGCAUUCUGCACAGAA